GUGGAUAACCUACCUAUAAGACUGGGAUAACUUCGGGAAACCGGAGCUAAUACCGGAUAAUAUUUUGAACCGCAUGCUUCAAAAGUGAAAGACGGUCUUGCUGUCACUUAUAGAUGGAUCCGCGCUGCAUUAGCUAGUUGGUAAGGUAACGGCUUACCAAGGCAACGAUGCAUAGCCGACCUGAGAGGGUGAUCGGCCACACUGGAACUGAGACACGGUCCAGACUCCUACGGGAGGCAGCAGUAGGGAAUCUUCCGCAAUGGGCGAAAGCCUGACGGAGCAACGCCGCGUGAGUGAUGAAGGUCUUCGGAUCGUA
rnacentral:rRNA from 1 species